UACGAAGGGGGGCUAGCGUUGCUCGGGAUCACUGGGCGCAAAGCGCACGUAGGCGGAUUGUUAAGUCAGGGGUGAAAUCCUGGAGCUCAACUCCAGAACUGCCUUUGAUACUGGCGAUCUCGAGUCCGGGAGAGGUGAGUGGAACUGCGAGUGUAGAGGUGAAAUUCGUAGAUAUUCGCAAGAACACCAGUGGCGAAGGCGGCUCACUGGCCCGGUACUGACGCUGAGGUGCGAAAGCGUGGGGAGCAAACAGGGAUU
rnacentral:rRNA from 1 species